rnacentral:rRNA from 1 species
UUAAAUUGAAGAGUUUGAUCAUGGCUCAGAUUGAACGCUGGCGGCAGGCCUAACACAUGCAAGUCGAACGGUAACAGGAAGAAGCUUGCUGCUUCGCUGACGAGUGGCGGACGGGUGAGUAAUGUCUGGGAAACUGCCUGAUGGA